CUACGGGAGGCAGCAGUGGGGAAUAUUGCACAAUGGGCGCAAGCCUGAUGCAGCCAUGCCGCGUGUAUGAAGAAGGCCUUCGGGUUGUAAAGUACUUUCAGCGGGGAGGAAGGGAGUAAAGUUAAUACCUUUGCUCAUUGACGUUACCCGCAGAAGAAGCACCGGCUAACUCCGUGCCAGCAGCCGCGGCAAUACGGAGGGUGCAAGCGUUAAUCGGAAUUACUGGGCGUAAAGCGCACGCAGGCGGUUUGUUAAGUCAGAUGUGAAAUCCCCGGGCUCAACCUGGGAACUGCAUCUGAUACUGGCAAGCUUGAGUCUCGUAGAGGGGGGUAGAAUUCCAGGUGUAGCGGUGAAGUGCGUAGAGAUCUGGAGGAAUACCGGUGGCGAAGGCGGCCCCCUGGACGAAGACUGACGCUCAGGUGCGAAAGCGUGGGGAGCAAACAGGAUUAGAUACCCUAGUAGUC
rnacentral:rRNA from 1 species